GAUGAACGCUGGCGGCGUGCCUAAUACAUGCAAGUCGAGCGAACAGACGAGGAGCUUGCUCCUCUGACGUUAGCGGCGGACGGGUGAGUAACACGUGGAUAACCUACCUAUAAGACUGGGAUAACUUCGGGAAACCGGAGCUAAUACCGGAUAAUAUAUUGAACCGCAUGGUUCAAUAGUGAAAGACGGUUUUGCUGUCACUUAUAGAUGGAUCCGCGCCGCAUUAGCUAGUUGGUAAGGUAACGGCUUACCAAGGCGACGAUGCGUAGCCGACCUGAGAGGGUGAUCGGCCACACUGGAACUGAGACACGGCCCAGACUCCUACGGGAGGCAGCAGUAGGGAAUCUUCCGCAAUGGGCGAAAGCCUGACGGAGCAACGCCGCGUGAGUGAUGAGGGUCUUCGGAUCUUAAAACUCUGUUAUUAGGGAAGAACAAUUGUGUAAGUAACUAUGCACGUCUUGACGGUACCUAAUCAGAAAGCCACGGCUAACUACGUG
rnacentral:rRNA from 1 species